CUCUUCUUUGCCCCAGUUUCCUCUCUUGCUGGAUAUAGGCCACGUCAUAAGUGCUUAAGACAACAGCAGCUUGUGGAAUCAAAACAGCUCCCAAAGUUCAGGUUGUGAUUUUGCCUGCAUCCUUCUAACUGGCCACAGCUCUUCCCUUAGCGGAAAUAGAAAGACUCAGAAGAAGAGAGAGUAAAGUAGAUGGACAGGAAGACAGGAUGAGAGCAAGCGUGAGAGAGAGAAAAAAAAAGAGAAUGUGAGGACAAGAGAAAGAGCACUGGGCAAGAGAAUGCGAAGGGAAAGAAUAAGGACUCCUGUCUCUUUUUUCCUGGCUGUCCACUAAGUCUUGAGCUGUACCACCUUUUCGACCUUUGAAACCCACACAGUCCUAUUUCAUCCCUUUUCUCAGAUAAUGGAAAUCCACACACACAUCCUUCUAGGGACUGUUCACACCUUUCUAAGGUCUUAUAUGUGGGGAGAAUGGGAGAAUGCUGCUUUCAUGAACUCAAAAUGAAUUUAUUCUCCUAAAUGUGACCGUGUUGACUUUCUGUCACAAGCUCUCUCCUGGGUAAGGCAAAGCAAAACAAAACAGAAACAAAUCAAUAAACAAGCAAAACCUACAUAACCUGGUCUCCUGCAGAGCCUCCCAUUAAUUGUCUAGAGAAGGAUUUCUAUGACUGAUCAAUUUAUAUGUUAUAAUUAAUGUUUUUAAGCUGCAGUAUUUUAGGAAUGGAAAAGUAAGUUUAGAUAUCAAGAUGCACCUGGCAAUCAACGUUAGUUGAAUUGAUCAGGGAAGGCUAUGUAUCCAUUAUUACAUACUGUUUAUAGCUCUAAACAUCAUCAAUGCACCAAUAACACGCAAAAAUACCUGAAUUACCUGGGAGCAUUACAGCAGCUGCUACCUCAGCGUUUAUUUUGCCAGUUUGUUUAGAGGCUGUGAAAAUUAAUAUGAGCUGGUGGAAACACCGGCAAUAAAUCUGGGAGCCAUUUUCGCCUAGAAUAAAGGUGAUUUCUUUAGAUUAAACACUGUCUGCAGGA